rnacentral:rRNA from 1 species
CGGUACUCAGUUCAGAUUGCAGGCUGCAACUCGCCUGCAUGAAGUUGGAAUUGCUAGUAAUCGCGAAUCAGAAUGUCGCGGUGAAUACGUUCCCGGGCCUUGUACACACCGCCCGUCACACCAUGAGAGUCGAUAACACCCGAAGCCUGUGAGCUAACCGUAAGGAGGCAGCAGUCGAAGGUGGGGUUGAUGAUUGGGGUGAAGUCGUAACAAGGUACC